UUUCCAACUUCAAUCUAGCCAAUAAUGAAGCAACAAGUUGUUUACAGGCUCAAACGAGUCAAGAAUGAAACUACAAGUUGAUUCUAAUUUUAAACAACCGAAAAUGAAGCUACAAGUUGUUUUCAACUUCAAACGAGUCUGGAAUGAAGCUACAAGUUGUUUCCAACUUCAAUCUAGCAAAUAAUGAAGCAACAAGUUGUUUCCAGGCUCAAACGAGUCAGGAAUGAAACUACAAGUUGAUUCUCAUUUUAAACAACCGAAAAUGAAG
rnacentral:lncRNA from 1 species